AAGUGGAAUCAUCGUUUCAGUUCUAUAGGCUAAGUUGAAUGGCGAUUUUCCUAUCGAUAUAUGAGAAGUUAUCCAAUAUGCCCUUAAGAUCGAAUAUAAUUUUUCUACCCAGAAGUCUUUAGCUUCAUUCAGUCUGGUCUUGAGACCAUGUAGAAUUACUCGGUUUGUCAACUUCACUUCACUGUUGGACUGUGGAUGACCGACUGAGGUAAGC
rnacentral:lncRNA from 1 species